rnacentral:rRNA from 1 species
AGAGUUUGAUCCUGGCUCAGGACGAACGCUGGCGGCGUGCCUAACACAUGCAAGUCGAACGGAGAUAUCAAAUGAAGCUUGCGAUUUGAUAUCUUAGUGGCGGACGGGUGAGUAACGCGUGGGUAAUCUGCCCAUAAGUGGGGGACAACAGUUGGAAACGACUGCUAAUACCGCAUAUGGUGAGCAAUCAUUAAAGGAGGCCUCUUAACAAUGCUUCCGCUUAUGGAUGAGCCCGCGUCUGAUUAGCUAGUUGGUGGGGUAAAGGCCUACCAAGGCGACGAUCAGUAGCCGGCCUGAGAGGGUGAACGGCCACACUGGGACUGAGACACGGCCCAGACUCCUACGGGAGGCAGCAGUGGGGAAUAUUGCGCAAUGGGGGAAACCCUGACGCAGCGACGCCGCGUGAGCGAUGAAGGCCUUAGGGUUGUAAAGCUCUGUUUUAAGGGACGAAUGUUACGGGGAGUAAUAUGCCCUGUAAAUGACGGUACCUUAAGAGGAAGCCCCGGCUAACUACGUGCCAGCAGCCGCGGUAAGACGUAGGGGGCGAGCGUUGUCCGGAAUUACUGGGCGUAAAGAGCACGUAGGCGGAGACUUAAGUCAGGUGUGAAAGACCGGGGCUCAACCCCGGGGUGGCACUUGAAACUGGGUCCCUUGAGGGCAGGAGAGGAAAGUAGAAUUCCUGGUGUAGCGGUGAAAUGCGUAGAAAUCAGGAGGAAUACCAGUGGCGAAGGCGACUUUCUGGACUGACCCUGACACUGAGGUGCGAAAGCGUGGGUAGCAAACAGGAUUAGACACCCUGGUAGUCCACGCCGUAAACGAUGGAUACUAGGUGUGGGAGGUAUCGACCCCUUCCGUGCCGCAGCUAACGCAAUAAGUAUCCCGCCUGGGGAGUACGGUCGCAAGGCUAAACUCAAAGGAAUUGACGG